ensembl:lncRNA
GAAACUGCACCACUGUGAUGGCAAUGUAGGACAAAGCAGAAGCGCAGCAAAGAGAUAAGGAUAUAAUUACUGCAGACAACCUUGGAGAAAAAUGGCAUCUAAGAACAAUUGUAAGGACCUUUCUGUCCUUGAAUUGCUAUCACUCUGCUAGUAAUGGAAGCCUGAGAAACCUUGAGACUACCAGCUUCUUGAAUCAGAGCUGCACUGAGUGACAUUUUCAACAUCGCUGAACAUGCCAGCAGUGAGUACUACAUUGAGAACAUCAUGGACAUGAACAGAAGAGAUAGAGAGGCAUCAGGUGGCAGCAAUAUAUGCAUAGGAAGCUGUUCAUUCCUGGGACACAGAGAGCCUAUCUGUACUUUUGUUUCCUC